rnacentral:lncRNA from 1 species
GAAAAUAUGAUGUGCUGAAAAAGGAUUUUGUAUUAAUUCGUUUUCAGCCGAAGCCUGGCAAGAUCAGCAGCUAUCAGAAACGAUCUUGCCGCAGAGGAGAUGAGCCAAUCGAAAACAAUGCUUCUGUGUAUUGACGUGAUAAUUAUGAAGAUGACCAUUUGUUUUGGCUUACAUUUUGAAAAAGGAUUUUGUAUUAAUUCGUUUUCAGCCAAAGCCUGGCAAGAUGAGCAGCUAUCAGAAACGAUCAUCUUGUGCCACAAUUAAUUCCUUACUAGUUACAUUCAUAUAAACAAGCAAUAAUAACUCAAGUUGAGUUGAAAUUUUAUCUUUUAACUGAAAUGGUAAAGUAAGAGAUGGGAA